rnacentral:rRNA from 1 species
AGCGAACGCUGGCGGCAGGCCUAACACAUGCAAGUCGAACGGAUCCUUCGGGAUUAGUGGCGGACGGGUGAGUAACACGUGGGAACGUGCCCUUUGGUUCGGAACAACUCAGGGAAACUUGAGGUAAUACCGGAUGUGCCCUUCGGGGGAAAGAUUUAUCGCCAUUGGAGCGGCCCGCGUCUGAUUAGCUAGUUGGUGGGGUAAAGGCCCACCAAGGCGACGAUCAGUAGCUGGUCUGAGAGGAUGAUCAGCCACAUUGGGACUGAGACACGGCCCAAACUCCUACGGGAGGCAGCAGUGGGGAAUCUUGCGCAAUGGGCGAAAGCCUGACGCAGCCAUGCCGCGUGAAUGAUGAAGGUCUUAGGAUUGUAAAAUUCUUUCACCGGAGACGAUAAUGACGGUACCCGGAGAAGAAGCCCCGGCUAACUUCGUGCCAGCCGCCGCAGUAA